rnacentral:rRNA from 1 species
CAGCAGCCGCGGGAAUACGUAGGGUGCAAGCGUUAAUCGGAAUUACUGGGCGUAAAGCGUGCGCAGGCGGUUAUAUAAGACAGAUGUGAAAUCCCCGGGCUCAACCUGUGAACUGCAUUUGUGACUGUAUAGCUAGAGUACGGCAGAGGGGGAUGGAAUUCCGCGUGUAGCAGUGAAAUGCGUAGAUAUGCGGAGGAACACCGAUGGCGAAGGCAAUCCCCUGGGCCUGUACUGACGCUCAUGCACGAAAGCGUGGGGAGCAAACAGGAUUAGAUACCCCCGUAGUCCCUGUCUCUUAUAC